rnacentral:misc_RNA from 1 species
GGUAAGUAAGGCAGAAACAGUAUCGUCCCAGCUUAAAUGGUAUUGAGAAGUUGCACUUGAGAAGGAUUUAAAAAGAAGCGCCAAAUAAAGUUCUGAUACUAAAUACACAAAACUUUCAGUCUUUAGGAAAUCCAACGGACAUUUCUGCGCAAUCUGUGAUAAAAUAGAGAUAGCAAAAUUGUCCCACGUAUCUUCAACAAAAAUGGAGAAAAAGCAAACCUGCAGCACUUCUUGACAGGAAUCCAUAGUGAGAAAUCCUGCACUAAAGAAUCUCUCCGCUAACAGGACUUGAAACACAGGCAGAGCAACUUCGCACAACUCCAAAGCAAUUGACUUUACUUCAUCACUAACACAGCGACCACUUAAUAUGGUAUUGACAGAGCCAAUAUGCAGCCUAGAUUCAUCAAGAACCGAAUCUUGCCCCUGAAAUAGAAGAAGAAGAGCAAAGCCCCACAAAAAUUGAAAUUCUUCUGAACCCAACUCAACCAUGUUAUAACCCG